AUUGAACGCUGGCGGCAGGCCUAACACAUGCAAGUCGAGCGAGCGGCUGACGGGUGAGUAAUGUAUGGGGACUGCCCGAUCGAGGGGGAUAACUACUGGAAACGGACGCUAAUACCGCAUACUAUCGGAUAACCCAUAUGGGAUUUGCUAGUAGGUGAGGUCAUGGCUCACCUAGGCGACGAUCCCUAGCUGGUCUGAGAGGAUGAUCAUCCACACUGGGACGUAGACACGGCCCGGAUUCCUACGGAGGCAGCAGUGGGGAAUAUUGAACAAUGGGCGCAAGCCUGCUGCAGCCAUGCCGGGUGUAUUAAGAAGGCCCUAGGGUUGUAAAGUACUUUCAGUCGGGAGGCGUUACCGACAGAAGAAGCACCGGCUAACUCCGUGCCAGCAGCCGCGGUAAUAC
rnacentral:rRNA from 1 species